rnacentral:rRNA from 1 species
AGUGGCGGACGGGUGUGUAACACGUGGAGAACCCGCCCCCUCCUCCGGGAUAGCCUCGGGAAACCGUGGGUAAUACCGGAUGACCCCGCAGGGCCGCAUGGCCCCGCGGGCAAAGCCCAGACGGGAGGGGAUGGCUCCGCGGCCCAUCAGGUAGACGGCGGGGUGACGGCCCACCGUGCCGACGACGGGUAGCCGGGUUGAGAGACCGACCGGCCAGAUUGGGACUGAGACACGGCCCAGACUCCUACGGGAGGCAGCAGUGGGGAAUCUUGCGCAAUGGGGGGAACCCUGACGCAGCGACGCCGCGUGCGGGACGAAGGCCCUCGGGUCGUAAACCGCUUUCAGCAGGGAUGAGACAAGACGGUACCUGCAGAAGAAGCCCCGGCUAACUACGUGCCAGCAGCCGCGGUAAUACGUAGGGGGCGAGCGUUAUCCGGAUUCAUUGGGCGUAAAGCGCGCGUAGGCGGCCCGGCAGGCAGGGGGUCAAAUGGCGGGGCUCAACCCCGUCCCGCCCCCUGAACCGCCGGGCUCGGGUCCGGUAGGGGAGGGUGGAACACCCGGUGUAGCGGUGGAAUGCGCAGAUAUCGGGUGGAACACCGGUGGCGAAGGCGGCCCUCUGGGCCGAGACCGACGCUGAGGCGCGAAAGCUGGGGGAGCGAACAGGAUUAGAUACCCUGGUAGUCCACACUGUAAACGAUGGAUACUAGGUGUAGGGAUGUAUUAAGCAUUCUGUGCCGCCGCUAACGCAUUAAGUAUCCCACCUGGGGGAGUACGACCGCAAGGUUGAAACUCAAAGGAAUUGACGGGGGCCCGCACAAGCAGUGGAGUAUGUGGUUUAAUUCGAAGCAACGCGAAGAACCUUACCAGGGCUUGACAUAAACAGGAAUAAUUUAGAGAUAGAUUAGCUCUUCGGAGCCUGUUUACAGGUGGUGCAUGGUUGUCGUCAGCUCGUGUCGUGAGAUGUUGGGUUAAGUCCCGCAACGAGCGCAACCCCUAUCGUUAGUUGCUAGCAGGUAAAGCUGAGAACUCUAGCGAGACUGCCGGUGGUAAAUCGGAGGAAGGUGGGGAUGACGUCAAAUCAUCAUGCCCUUUAUGUCCUGGGCUACACACGUACUACAAUAGCCGCAACAGAGGGAAGCAAUAUAGUAAUAUGGAGCAAAACCCUAAAAACGGUCUCAGUUCGGAUUGAAGGCUGAAAUUCGCCUUCAUGAAGCUGGAAUUGCUAGUAAUGGCAGGUCAGCAUACUGCCGUGAAUACGUUCCCGGGCCUUGCACUCACCGCCCGUCA